GCCUGGCUAGCUCAGUUGGUUAGAGCGUGGUGCUGAUAAUGCCAAGGUUGCAGGUUCGAUAUGGGACAGCUGUGUGGUCCUGCAUUUCAGGAGGUCGGACU